rnacentral:misc_RNA from 1 species
UUAAGUUCAGCGGGUAGCCCUACCUGAUUUGAGGCCAGAUCAUGAGUUAUGUGGGGUUAUUAGCCACCCGAAAGGAUGAAACGUAUUACAUCCAAGGUGCUUAUUCUUUUAAGGCGAGCCUUUGGCAAGGCAACACCCAAUACACUACCACUCAGGCAAAAACCCAAGUGGAGUGAGGUUUCAUGACACUCAAACAGGCA